ACGAUUGUGCGGCACUUGUUCUAGCUCGGCGAACAAGUCAGCCGAUCAAAAUCUGCAAAUCGCAGACAACUUUAACACAUACUUCAACCUCCCCUCACGUUCUUGGAAAAAUAGUUUUAGAAAACAUGAAAGAUGAUUAAAUUGAUUGAAAACGUUGUUAAAACAAGCAUUGAAGACUGUCAAUUGCAAUAAGAAAGCAUAGACUGCAAAGAGUACGACAAGGCUUGGGCAGGGAUUCAACAGAAAUGACUAAUAAAGAUUUUGUCUUGAUCCGAUACAACUUACUGCGGAUACCCGUGCAAUCUCACCACUUCUUUAACAAAAACUUCUGCUACGAAGCUGGCCAUCUGAUUUUGGAAGUCCAUCUAUAAAAUCCAUGGAAAUAUCCGACCACACUGUGUUAGGAAUCUCAAGUGGCAGCAGCAAUCCAGCAGGUUAAGCUGGUCAAUCCAGAUAUUGUCUCAAACCCCACAGAGUAUCAAAAACUAGCUCAAUCAAUAUCAGAACUUGAUGAGGUGGUAUCUACUUUUAGAAAAUUCAAGGAAUGUGAGGCCAAAGCUAAGACAGUGGGAACGAUGAGGAUAUGGUAGAGAUGAUUGCUUUAGAAAUCAGUUCUUUAUCCAGUGAGCUCAAAGAUAUCGAAGAGAAGCUUAAGGUGCUUUUGGUUCAUGAACAUGAUUUUUGCAUGUGGAAUUGAAGCCUUUGUAACAUCUGAUCUUCAGGGUUUAUCUGAGUAGGGGCAAAAAUCACUUGAAGCUCUAAAGCCAAAACUGAAGGUAGGCGUUGAGAAGGGUUUUGCUUUUAUACAUAAGCAAGUUGUAGCUGCUUAAAAACUCUCAUUUCAAGAACAUUCAUGGAGAGUAGAUUGAAUCCCAAUAAUCGAAUUGCAACUUUUUUUAGUAGUUUGUAUGUUUCCAUUUUACCUCGUAAUUAUAAAAAUAAUGUAUUCGUUUCAUUAGGAGUUCCUAGUAAUUAAAAAUUUUGUAAUAACACGGUUUAGUUAAACUA